AACGCUAGCGGCAGGCUUAACACAUGCAAGUCGAGGGGUAUAGUUCUUUGGAACUAGAGACCGGCGCACGGGUGCGUAAUGUGUAUGCAAUCUACCUUUUACAGAUGGAUAGCCCAGAGAAAUUUUGAUUAAUACCUCAUAGUAUAGCAGUUUUGCAUGAGACCACUAUUAAUGUCACAACGGUAAAAGAUGAGCAUGCGUCCCAUUAGCUAGUUUGUAAGGUAACGGCUUACCAAGGCUACGAUGGGUAGGGGUCCUGAGAGGGAGAUCCCCCACACUUGUACUGAGACACGGACCAGACUCCUACGGGAGGCAGCAGUGAGGAAUAUUGGACAAUGGGCGCAAGCCUGAUCCAGCCAUGCUGCGUGCAGGAUGACGGUCCUAUGGAUUGUAAACUGCUUUUAUACGAGAAGAAACACUCCGACGUGUYGGAGCUUGACGGUAUCGUAAGAAUAAGGAUCGGCUAACUCCGUGCCAGCAGCCGCGGUAAUACGGAGGAUCCAAGCGUUAUCCGGAAUCAUUUGGUUUAAAGGGUCCGUAGGCGGUUUAAUAAGUCAGUUGUGAAAGCCCAUCGCUCAACGGUGGAACGGCAUUGAUACUGUUAGACUUGAAUUAUUAGGAAGUAACUAGAAUAUGUAGUGUAGCGGUGAAAUGCUUAGAGAUUACAUGGGAUACCAAUUGCGAGGCAGGUUAUACUAAUGGAUUGACG
rnacentral:rRNA from 1 species